GGGUGAGUAACACGUGGGUGAUCUGCCCUGCACUUCGGGAUAAGCUUGGGAAACUGGGUCUAAUACCGGAUAGGAGCCAUCUUUAGUGUGGUGGUUGGAAAGUUUUUCGGUGUAGGAUGAGCUCGCGGCCUAUCAGCUUGUUGGUGGGGUAAUGGCCUACCAAGGCGGCGACGGGUAGCCGGCCUGAGAGGGUGUACGGCCACAUUGGGACUGAGAUACGGCCCAG
rnacentral:rRNA from 1 species